UACGGAGGGUCCAAGCGUUAUCCGGAUUUAUUGGGGUUUAAAGGGUGCGUAGGCGGUUCAGUAAGUUAGAGGUGAAAUCCCGUGGCUCAACCACGGACCUGCCUCUGAUACUGCUGGGCUAGAGAUUGGUUGCUGUGGGCGGAAUGUGUGGUGUAGCGGUGAAAUGCUUAGAGAUCACACAGAACACCGAUUGCGAAGGCAGCUCACAAAGCCACAUCUGACGCUGAGGCACGGAAGCGUGGGGAGGCAAACAGGAUUAGA
rnacentral:rRNA from 1 species